CACGGUUAAGAACAACAGGGAUGCCUAGUAACGGCGAAGUGAAGCGGCAACAGCUCAAAUUUGAAAUCUGGCCUCGGCCCGAGUUGUAAUUUGCAGAGGAUGUUUCUGGCGCGGUGCCUUCCGAGUUCCCUGGAACGGGACGCCACAGAGGGUGAGAGCCCCGUAUGGUUGGACACCAAGCCUGUGUGAAACUCCUUCGACGAGUCGAGUAGUUUGGGAAUGCUGCUCUAAAUGGGAGGUAAAUCUCUUCUAAAGCUAAAUACCGGCCAGAGACCGAUAGCGCACAAGUAGAGUGAUCGAAAGAUGAAAAGCACCUUGAAAAGGGGGUUAAACAGUACGUGAAAUUGUUGAAAGGGAAGCGCUCAUGACCAGACUUGUGCCGGGCGGUUCAUCCGGGGUUCUCCCCGGUGCACUCCGCCCGGCUCAGGCCAGCAUCGGUUCUCGUUGGGGGAUAAGAACGGUAGGAACGUGGCCCUCCCUCGGGAGGGUGUUAUAGCCUGCCGUACGAUACCCUGAUGGGGACCGAGGUUCGCGCUCCGCAAGGAUGCUGGCGUAAUGGUCAUCAGCGACCCGUCUUGAAACACGGACCAAGGAGUCGUCCAUUAGAGCGAGCGUUUGGGUGUAAAACCCGCACGCGUAAUGAAAGUGAAAUUAGGUGAGAGCUUCGGCGCAUCAUCGACCGAUCCUGAUGUUCUCGGAUGGAUUUGAGUAAGAGUUUUAACGGACGGACCCGAAAGACAGUGAACUAUGCUUGUAUAGGGUGAAGCCAGAGGAAACUCUGGUGGAGGCUCGCAGCGGUUCUGACGUGCAAAUCGAUCGUCAAAUAUGAGCAUGGGGCGAAAGACUAAUCG
rnacentral:rRNA from 1 species